AGCUGCAAUCAAGCAUAUUUCUUAGAUCAUUUUGAAUGUACUUACAUUUUCGCUAGAGACACAGAAAUUUUAAGCUGACAAAAAGUCCAUGAUGUUCAAUCACACUAUAUAUUAAGCUGACAAAUUAUCACACUGAACAUAUUAUGAUAACACAUACCUAGCCCAAUUGCCUCUGAGCCCUUCAUGAUCCUUAGCCUCCUACAGAAUAAAACCCUAAUUUCUUGGUUGGUUUUUGAGAAUUUUUUGGAAUUUCGCUCUUAAAUUUCAUUGUACCACAACAUUGGCAAUACUUCUACGCUGAAGAGAUGGCUAAAAAAGGGAAAGCGAACUGCUCUUUGUGAUGGUGGUGCUUAGCUUACUCAAUUACAUGGUAUUUUUGUGAAUUCCACAAGAAAAAUGCAAAAGCAUGUGCUUAUAAAAACAAAGUUAUUGACAAUUGGAGGACAUUGAGAUCUUGUGUGGGAUGGAUAGAGCUAUUGGAGUUGGUGCAAAAUAUAUGGAUGAUGCAGUUGAAGUUAUGACUGAGGAAGGAGAAAAGCGAUGAAUUCUCCUAUUACACAACAACACAUCAACUUUUGGUAUCAAUAAGUUAUGCAAUUGAGCCUUGACAAAGAAAAAAGAGUAGAAAAGAUCCACUUUGAAACAAUUUUUUAGUU